UGACUAGAGCAGUCGAGUGAUUUCUCUUUUUCGCUUGUUCUUUGAUUUACAUCAACGACAGACUUCAGCAGGUUUUACUUUAAAAGCAGCGCUGUCUCUUUAAAACUUGAUACGCAGAUCUAACACGUACCCUAUUUUCUCCAAACUGUUUACGGCCAUUAAAGACUUUAUAACUCAUUUAAGACUACGUUUACAAGGUAACUCGUCAAACCCGCAUAUUUUGACAUAAUUGUGUGUUUUGGUCCGUUGAAGCCUAGUGCGCUGUCUGAAGCGGCUCAGGGUAUGUGUACAGAUGAACUAUAGCCUACUUCACUGCACCGUUUCGAGGCGAAAUCCCAGGUAUGUGUCGCACAUUCUCAGAGAGUAAAGAAGAGAAAAGUUAAUCUUCCGAAACGAAGCAGCAAUAUUUUCUCAGGUAAAACUUAUUAGAACCGUGUCUAGGGACAAGCUGGCCAUCGCACUGCUCUGACCUUAUCGGCCCGUUGGUAUAUUAUUUGAUUCGCUCUUGUCGCUUACAAGAGCAUUAAACAGAACAGCAUCACAAUGAUCUUUACUUCGGAAAAUAUUAUUUUAUUCGCUUAUGUCAGAAACAGCGAAUCUCUUUAAAAACUGUCUGUUGUUUUCACCACAUUUUCUCUCUGGGCCGAUCUCGGCUGAAAGCUGUUAUAGGUGCGGCAGGUCCACACUUGGUGUAGUUGUGUGUCUCUAUCUUCGGCCCGAGUUGGUUUAGUCUCCGGCGGCAGCUGCUAGAAUGAAGAUCCGCCGCUGAGAGAAAGAUUUGGCGGUUAAUCCUGAGGAGAUUUCGGCGGGUGAAGUUCUCAAGAAGAGUACUUCAGCUGCAAAAACAAUGGCGGAUCAUGGAGCCGCACAAUAGUUCCCGGAAGUUAGCUCUCAUACUAUCAGCGCCGCAGAGAUGCAGCAGAAGAGAUGAACUUUUAAAAGAACAAGAACCACCUGAAGACUCCCUGUAAUGAGAUAUCACCCUCACAACGAGUCUCUUCACUGGGUUUGGCAAGUCUUUCCCUGUUCUUUGUGAAAAAGUGCCAGUUCCCAUAUGAUUACAUCACAUUUGUUGGUGUAAUCUAUAGAUUGCUCCUGCUGACUAUAUCCAGCCUCUUAUGAAGACUUCAGAUGACCAGCACCUGUGAAGAGAUGA